rnacentral:lncRNA from 1 species
UAGGGGCAACGAAUCUUGGUUGAUGAUAGUGGCUUUCUGACAUUUCAAAAGCCACAAAAUCGGGCCAAAAUAGGAUGGGAAGGGGGAGGAAAAGGGGUGUUUUGGGCAGUCGAACUCAGGCUAAGGUGUCUUUUCGACUACUAGAAAGGAAGAAGGGAGGGAAGAGGGGAAGAAGCUUGGUGAUAUGGAUUGCCAGGGAGGAAGAAGGGUCUAAAUAAGGCUUGUCCAUCGUGAAGAUAAGAUCGGCAUAA